rnacentral:rRNA from 1 species
GCUUACGGCCAUACCACCCUGAAAACGCCCGAUCUCGUCUGAUCUCGGAAGCUACGCAGGGUCGGGCCUGGUUAGUACUUGGAUGGGAGACCGCCUGGGAAUACCAGGUGCUGUAAGUU